CCUCCAUGUGGAGUGGGUGGCAAGCAGAAAGCCUCGUCGUGAGCACUGUGUCCAGUUUGAAAACAAACUGACAGAUGUGCUCUUGGAUCAGCUUGUGAGACUUGCAAUGACAGGAAUACAAAGAAACUUUUGCUGUUUAGUUCAGGAAAUGAGAUGCAGACAAUCUGAUAAAUAAACAGUGUUUAUUACUCCAGUUUAAAGUGUGUUUUGUAUUUCCUUUCAAAAUACUCCUACGAGGAACUGAGGAUGAAUAUUAAACAUGUGCUCCUAAUUUAGAGACCUCAAUGGCAAGGUCAGAGGGUCUUUAACUUACACAAUUUGUAUAGUUAGGUUAUAACAGCAGUGAGUGUUUCUGAUCUUUAACCACACUGAAGAAACAACAAGAAAUAUGAAUAACAUAGAAAUUCACUCCAAAGAAACUUACAAGACUUAUGAAUACACC
rnacentral:lncRNA from 12 species